AUGAUGGGGAUGCUCAUCUUCAAGGAUGGCGAGAGGAAGGAGAUGGUCAUCGGCACCAUUGCAGACAUGGCCUUGGCCGCCACAGUCGACAUAGGACCAGCAGAAAGCAGAAGGCGGGUCUCACAGUCAAGAAGUGUACGUACGUACGUCUUCCAACAAGAGAAACGGGAAACCAAACCCCCAAAAUUCCCCUCUUCAUCUGGCCCCCAUGCCGGACAAUGGCACACCGUCGCAUUUGAUGGGUGGAGUGCUCUGAUCACAGGAAUCAUCGACAAUGUGCGAUCCUCCACCGUGUUCAGAAAGCGCUACUACGCGCACGGAUGCUUCUGUUGGGCGAUACCUGGUCUCAACAAGUUGCUCAUGCUCGACACCUUCAGCCUGGGAACACCUCCUACCUCCACUAGAAGUGUAUUCUACUGGGAUGACAAGCUCCCAGGAUCUCGGCUUCUUCUCGACAGGCUGCGGCUCCUCCUCAGCCCGGGGUACCCCUACGAAGAAAUGUUGAGCAGAUUCCAGGCCCAAAAUGACAAUGCUGUGUGCUCCUAUUUGCCAGUACUCAAGCCAUUCAACUUCACCAAAGGAGGACUGAUACACCUCAACCAUGGAGGGCCUCGGCCGCUUUACUUUGAUUACAUCUUAGGAAAAGAACCCAAUGCUACGUACAUUGUCGGUUUUGGAAACAAGUACCCCAAAAAUGUUCAUCACAGAGGGGCAUCGAUCCCUUAUGACGGUGUUAAGUACGGGUGCAAAGGAGGUACAGAAUGGAAGCAGAGUAAGAAAGCAAACCCUAAUAUCAUCCUCGGAGUAAUGGUUGCUGGUCCUGACGGGCAUGAUGGCUUCAAAGAUGUCCGCGAAGACUACAACUACACGGAGCCUUCUCUUGCAGCAAAUGCUAAUCAGGUUGCAGCACUCAUUUCCCAACUUGACGUUGGCACUGCAGACAGAAGUAGUUGA
rnacentral:rRNA from 1 species